GGGUGCGAUCAUACCAGCAAUAAUGCACCGGAUCCCAUCAGAACUCCGAAGUUAAGCUUGCUUGGGGCGAGAGCAGUACUAGGAUGGGUGACCUCCUGGGAAGUCCUCGUGUUGCACCCCUC
rnacentral:rRNA from 1 species